rnacentral:rRNA from 1 species
AUGCAGGAAACAGCAAAGCUAGCGUGGCAAUCAAUGGCGCUAUCAGUAUCAGCUGCUGCUCCCGGCCAGGGCCAGCAGGAACCGCCGUCGGGGAAGCAGUUGAGCUACCAGCUCGCCGCUGCUGUGAGGAGCAUCAACUGGACUUACGCCAUUUUCUGGUCCAUGUCCACCGGCCUGCGCCCACCUGGAGUUCUGACAUGGAAGAACGGGUUCUAUAACGGCGAGGUAAAGACAAGGAAGAUCAUUAGCUCCACCACGACGGAGCUUACCGCCGACGACCUCGUCCUGCAGAGAAGCGAGCAACUGAGGGAGCUCUACCAGUCGCUCUUGUCCGGCAAGGCGGACCACCGUGCCAAGCGUCCCGCCGCCUCGCUGUCGCCGGAGGAUCUCGGGGAAGCCGAGUGGUACCACACGCUAAGCAUGACUUAUGCCUUCCGGCCUGGUCAAGGGUUGCCAGGCAAGAGCUUUGCGAGCAAUCAACAUGUUUGGUUAUACAACGCUCAAUACGCAGACACCAAAACUUUCCAGCGCGCUCUCUUAGCAAAGACCGCGCCUAUUCAGACAGUUGUUUGCAUUCCCUUCAUGGGUGGCGUGCUCGAGCUCGGGACAUUGGAUUUGGUAUUGGAGGAUCCGAAUAUGGUGAACCAGAUUGGCACAUCUUUCUGGGAGCUACCCUUUUUGGCAUGCUCGGAGUCUGAGCUGCCAAGCUCCAAUCCAUCAAUAGACGAAGCAGGGAACAGGGAGGUAGACAUCGUCGUGUUAGAAGACCUCGAUCACAAUGUCGCCAAGGGGAUAAUCUCUGAGCUUGGGGAGGUCGAGUGCAUGUCCGACGUCAACCUUGAUCAUGUCACUGAGGAGGUGGACGAGUUCUAUGGCCUCAUCGAGGAGUUGGAUGUGCGUUCUCUUGAGGACAACUGGGUCAUGGAAAGGUCAUUUGAGUACAUGUCUUCCUUGGAAAUGGCACCAGACAUGGACGCACGGAGCAUUGAUGAUGCCAUCAUCACUUUAAGUAGCUUUGUUAAAGGCUCUCGUCCAUCCUGCUUUACGGUGUGGAAGAGGUCAUCUGACUGUGAAGACAUGGUUGCGCGGGUCACCGGGGAGUCACAAAAGUUGUUGAAGAAAGCUAUAGCCGGCGGUGCAUGGACAACGAGACCUCAAGAAAGUAACAUCAAGACGCAUGUCCUGUCGGAAAGGAGGCGCCGAGAGAAGCUCAAUGAUAUGUUCCUAGUUCUCAAGUCAAUGGUCCCGUCCAUUAACAAGAUGGACAAAGCAUCCAUCCUAGCUGAAACUAUAACCUAUCUCAGAGAGCUAGAACAAAGGGUAGAAGAGCUAGAAACUAGCAGGGCACCGUCAUCGCGCCCAAAUGAAGCAAUGGGACGGGGGAUCCAUGAGGUUGUCAGCGGGAAGAAGAUCAAGCUAUCAACUGGAUCAAAGAGGAAGGUGCUAGAGACGGAGAUGGAGGACAAUGAUUGCCCAAGCAACAUUGUUAAUGUGACCGUGAUGGACAAGGAGGUGCUCUUGGAGGUGCAGUGCCGAUGGAAGGGGUUGUUGAUGACACGGGUGUUCGACGCUAUCAAGAGCCUCCGCCUGGACAUCGUCUCUGUGCACGCAUCCACACCGGAAGGUCUUCUUGAUCUCAAGAUACGAGCUACUCAGCAAGCCUCGAUCGCACCAACUUCUAAGCUUGCAGUAGGUUCUGCUACCAUUGCACCUGGGAUGAUCACUGAAGCGCUUCAGAAAGCUAUAUGCAUCCGCUGA